rnacentral:rRNA from 1 species
AUUGAACGCUGGCGGCAGGCCUAACACAUGCAAGUCGAACGGUAACAGGAAGCAGCUUGCUGCUUCGCUGACGAGUGGCGGACGGGUGAGUAAUGUCUGGGAAGCUGCCUGAUGGAGGGGGAUAACUACUGGAAACGGUAGCUAAUACCGCAUAAUGUCGCAAGACCAAAGAGGGGGACCUUCGGGCCUCUUGCCAUCGGAUGUGCCCAGAUGGGAUUAGCUUGUUGGUUGGGUAACGGCUCACCAAGGCGACGAUCCCUAGCUGGUCUGAGAGGAUGACCAGCCACACUGGGACUGAGACACGGUCCAGACUCCUACGGGAGGCAGCAGUGGGGAAUAUUGCACAGUGGGCGCAAGCCUGAUGCAGCCAUGCCGCGUGUAUGAAGAAGGCCUUCGGGUUGUAAAGUACUUUCAGCGGGGAGGAAGGGAGUAAAGUUAAUACCUGUGCUCAUUGACGUUACCCGCAGAAGAAGCACCGGCUAACUCCGUG